CCUACGGGAGGCAGCAGUGGGGAAUAUUGGACAAUGGGCGAAAGCCUGAUCCAGCCAUGCCGCGUGUGUGAAGAAGGCCUUCGGGUUGUAAAGCACUUUCAGUGGGGAAGAAAGCCUUGGGGCUAAUACCCUCGAGGAAGGACAUCACCCACAGAAGAAGCACCGGCUAACUCCGUGCCAGCAGCCGCGGUAAUACGGAGGGUGCGAGCGUUAAUCGGAAUUGCUGGGCGUAAAGCGCGCGUAGGCGGUCUGAUAAGCCGGUUGUGAAAGCCCCGGGCUCAACCUGGGAACGGCAUCCGGAACUGGCGGGCUAGAGGGCGGGAGAGGAAGGUAGAAUUCCCGGUGUAGCGGGGAAAUGCGGAGAGAUCGGGAGGAAUACCAGUGGCGAAGGCGGUCUUCUGGACUGAUCCUGCCGCUGAGGUGCGAAAGCGUGGGUAGCAAACAGGAUUAGAUACCCUGGUAGUC
rnacentral:rRNA from 1 species